UCUCUGUACGGGCACUUGCCAUGACUUUAUUUUUGAAUAUUUCUGUGUUCAUGUGGUAGGGAAAACAUUGUUGUAUACUACAAAUUCCCUGUUUUGCUUUUAGGUUGGAGACUACAUAAGACUUUGACAGUUGGCGGGAAACCAUCAUCAACUGGAGAGAUGCCGGUAGAGGAAUGUCUGCGACUAAGUCAAGGGCCACUGGAUAAGGGUUGUUGAUGGCAAAACAGGUUGGAGACUACAUAAGACUUUGACAGUUGGCGGGAAACCAUCAUCAACUGGAGAGAUGCCGGUAAAAAGAUGGCCAUAAAACAGUGACCGCUGAUUCGCAUUGAGUUCUUUCUUACAUAUUGGAUGACCUAUAUUUUUUAUUGUUUAA